UCUCUCUCUCUCUCUUUCUCUCUAAUAACUCUAACAGCAUACUUGCAAGAAACCUCUCCGGUUGCAAUAUUGCCGCAUGCUUAUAUUGUAGUGGUCGUUGAUUAGAAAAAUUCUACAUUGAUUGAUGAAUAUUGACGAGGACAUGAUGGCCAGUACUGAGUCAUAUCGCCCAACAUCCACCGGAGAAACGUACUCAGUGUCUCCACCACGGCAAAUGGAUCUGACUGAAUCUAGCUCACCUGAGGAUUUUCAAGUAUAUGAACCCAGGAAAUUUACAUUUGAAGAACUAGCAAUUGCAACUCGUCAUUUCUCCAACAACGAACUCCUUGGCGUUGGUGAUUUUGGUGAUGUCUAUAAGGGAUACCUUCCAAGUGGGGACGUCAUUGCUAUUAAGAAACUUAAAUAUAAGCAGAAAGGACGACAGGAAGAAGAAUUCAAGAAUCAG
rnacentral:misc_RNA from 1 species